GAACUGAGACACGGUCCAGACUCCUACGGGAGGCAGCAGUGGGGAAUAUUGCGCAAUGGAGGAAACUCUGACGCAGCAACGCCGCGUGGGUGAAGAAGGUCUUCGGAUUGUAAAGCCCUGUCGGGGGGGAAGAAAAGCGCGUGGAGAACGCGUAUGACGGUACCCUCGAAGGAAGCACUGGCUAACUCCGUGCCAGCAGCCGCGGUAAUACGGAGAGUGCAAACGUUGUUCGGAAUUAUUGGGCGUAAAGGGCGCGUAGGCGGUCUGGUAAGUCGGAUGUGAAAGCCCGGGGCUCAACCCUGGAAGUGCGUUCGAAACUGCUGGACUUGAGUUCAGGAGGGAGAGGUGGAAUUCCUGGUGUAGGGGUGAAAUCCGUAGAUAUCAGGAGGAACACCGGUGGCGAAGGCGACCUCUUGGCCUGUAACUGACGCUGAGGCGCGAAGGCGUGGGGAGCAAACAGGAUUAGAUACCCUGGUAGUCCACGCGGUAAACGAUGCUCACUGGGUGCUGGUGGUAGACGCUGUCAGUGCCGUAGCUAACG
rnacentral:rRNA from 1 species